UGCGCAGGCGGUUUUGUAAGACAGCUGUGAAAUCCCCGGGCUUAACCUGGGAACUGCGGUUGUGACUGCAAGACUGGAGUCAGGCAGAGGGGGGUGGAAUUCCACGUGUAGCAGUGAAAUGCGUAGAGAUGUGGAGGAACACCGAUGGCGAAGGCAGCCCCCUGGGCCAUGACUGACGCUCAAGCACGAAAGCGUGGGGAGCAAACAGGAUUAGAUACCCUGGUAGUCCACGCCCUAAACGAUGCCAACUAGGUGUUGGGGAAGGAGACUUCCUUAGUGCCGUAGCUAACGCGUGAAGUUGGCCGCCUGGGGAGUACGGUCGCAAGAUUAAA
rnacentral:rRNA from 1 species